rnacentral:SRP_RNA from 1 species
GCUGGGUGUGGUGGUGUGCGCCUGUAAUCCCAGCUACUCUGGAGGCUGAGGCAGGAGACUCGCUUGAACCCGGGAGGUGGAGGUUGCGGUGAGCCGAGAUCGUGCCACUGCACUCCAGCCUGGGCAACAGAGCGAGACUCCGUCUCAA